CUCAUAACAAAUAUUUAGAUCCCGACAAGCGGAAUGUACACACUUAUUAAAAAGUAAAUUUCAUUUAUUGCUCGCCGAGAGCCGCUGUGCGCCAGCAACGGCAAACAAAUAAACCAGCUGUAACAACAGAAAGCUUUGCACAAUCAAGAGCGGAGCAGAACAUUUAAUUUUCCACCCGUUGUGUCUUUGUUUUCCAAUCCCGUGCUGCGAUUGCCACUGCCACUGCUACUGCCACUGUCACUGUCUCCGACCCGACCCGACCCGAGCCGACCCCGGCGCCGCCACAAAGUCACAUUGACCGUCAAACUGUAAUCAAAUGAUAAAUGCUGAGCAGGAAGCCCGGCUCGUCCUCGUUCUCGUGCUGUGGACUGGACUGGUCUGGUCUGGUCUGGUGCUCGGCCAGGAUAUGCAGCCGAGCUCGACCGCGACCGGACCGGAUUGGGACCGCAGGACACUGCCACAGCGGCAGCCGCAGCCGCAGAGUUGUUGAACAAAUGACAACAAAAACGGGCGAGGGCACGGACGCUGGAACGGCGGCAACUGCCCACAAGACGAUUAUCACAGGUUGCCAAGGACAUGGGCGGUCCCCCAACCGCAGCACAAUUCCUCUUAAGGAUGCCACAGAAAAGUCGGGGCACUAUUUGUGCCCUUCCCUUUCUGGCUGGGACUGGGAUUGACUAACACUGAGGCUCUGUUCGCGUUUCUUUCGGUUUUAUGGCCCACGGAAGGCGACAGCACAGGGAAAAGCGAAAUGCGAAAAACAGUGGCAGAGGCAGUAAAACGAAAUGAAAGCAG